rnacentral:lncRNA from 10 species
CAAACAGUUCCUUCCUUCUUGCUUUCCAGAAUUCUAUUUAUCCUGUUUUUAAAUUAACUUUAAAAAGGAGGUAAUGCUUACAAUGAAAUGCAGGUCGUACGUGUGCAGUGCGACGUUGUGAUGUACGCCCCAUGUAACCACAACCCCUAUAAGGAAGGCCUUCCUGUCUGACAUGUGGCUCCCUCCCGGUAGGGACCCGCUAUCGUCCCAGCACUUCUUCUGCACCUCCGAAGCUACUGCCCGUUUCGCAGUAAAGCCGCCCGCGUCCUAGUCUACUCCACCUCGCAGCACCCGCAUCCUGCAAGGGACCUGCCUCAGAAGCCCCAGCGACAGGCGCCGCGGGUGCCCGCCCUCCAGGAGCGGACAGUCAGGCCUGGGCAUUUCGCAAACUCCAUCAGCGAACUUCUGAGGGCAAAGAUGAAAAGGACAGCAGGCCGAGUCCUGUUUCUACUCGGAGGGAAGGGAGGCCUCCACGCGCUGCCGUAGCCUGGGGGUUAAUUUCCCCGUCAGCACCAAGGCUGCCUAAGGCCCGGGCGCCAACGUGCGCGGCACAGGACGCGGCGCCUUCCGGCGACCGGGACGCGAGGCCCAACAGCGCCUAACACAGCAACCAGGAUCCACUCUCAGGCCGGCGCCAGCUCCUUCCCUCAGGAAUCCGCCAGCCACUGCUAAUUAAACUCUUCCACCACUACCACCCUGGAAAAAAGCUGGCCGUGGUCGCGUGCGCCUGUAAUCCCAGCUACCCAGGAGGCUGAGGCAGGAGACUCGCUGGAACCCGGGAGGCAGAGGCUACAAUGAGCCGAGAUCGCACCACAGCUACUCCAGCCUGGGCGACAGAGCAAGGCAACAUCUAAAAAAAAAAAAAUUAAGAUCCUAAUUAAAGUUAAACCCACUAUUUUGCACUGAGUCACGUAGAUUUUCAAAGUCAAGGCUUCAUUGGUCGAUUGUCUGCUCAGUCUUUUUAAAUCAAAUCGUUGACUUUAAAUGUUGACAUCAAAUUGAGGCUUUGGUAAAAUUGACAGGAUUGGCGGUAGCGGGGGGGAACCUUUAAAACUUGUUAGUCUUUCAGAGUCUUCAGUUUUGAAUGAGUUGGUCAAUAUAUGUAUUUAGACAUCAAGCGCCGUAAGUAUGUAUGAUUUUUGUCAACAACACCUUAAUUAUCUUGCACAUACAGGCACUGAUUAUUGAAAGGUUCCCUUACGUUUUAGCAGCUACCAAAUUAUAAGUGAUACAAAGUAUUUGUUUCCAAUUCCCCAAGAAAUCAAUCUGUAUUAUGCUUCUACCCUCUCUUUCCUCCAUUUUCUUUACCAAUUUCAUGAUCUUGCUAAAUUUUAUAUAUUCUGCUGAGCAAUGUGAAAAUCCUUUCUGGUAUAAGGUAAGGAUAUAAACUGUUCAGCUGGCAAAUGAUGCUAUUCAGUAAGUAGUUAAUGAAACAGGUUUAUAACAUUGGGUGUACUAUAAUUUCUAUUUUAAGAACUGUUUCCAGUUUAUAAUAACCCAUGCUACAUUUUGACUUUGUUUUGAAUUGAUGACAAGUCUAUUAACCAAAUAUUUCAAGAUCAG